rnacentral:rRNA from 1 species
CCUACGGGGGGCAGCAGUGAGGAAUAUUGGUCAAUGGGCGGGAGCCUGAACCAGCCAAGUCGCGUGAGGGAAGACGGUCCUACGGAUUGUAAACCUCUUUUGCCGGGGAGCAACGGGGUCCUUGCGAGGGCCCAAUGAGAGUACCCGGAGAAAAAGCAUCGGCUAACUCCGUGCCAGCAGCCGCGGUAAUACGGAGGAUGCGAGCGUUAUCCGGAUUUAUUGGGUUUAAAGGGAGCGUAGGUGGAUUGUUAAUUCAUUUGUGAAAGUUUGCGGCUCAACCGUAAAAUUGCAGUUGAAACUGGCAGUCUUGAGUACAGUAGAGGUGGGCGGAAUUCGUGGUGUAGCGGUGAAAUGCAUAGAUAUCACGAAGAACUCCGAUUGCGAAGGCAGCUCACUGGACUGCAACUGACACUGAGGCUCGAAAGUGUGGGUAUCAAACAGGAUUAGAUACCCCAGUAGUC